AAUGAACGCUGGCGGCAUGCCUAACACAUGCAAGUCGAACGAAGCCUUCGGGCUUAGUGGCGCACGGGUGCGUAACGCGUGGGAAUCUGCCCUUGGGUUCGGAAUAACAGGAAGAAAUUCCUGCUAAUACCGGAUAAUGACGUAAGUCCAAAGAUUUAUCGCCCAACGGAUGAGCCCGCCGUAGGAUUAGCUAGUUGGUGAGGUAAAAGACUCACCAAGGCGACGAUCCUUAGCNGGUCCGAGAGGAUGAUCAGCCACACUGGGACUGAGACACGGUCCAGACACCUACGGGU
rnacentral:rRNA from 1 species